rnacentral:rRNA from 1 species
GAUGAACGCUGACAGAAUGCUUAACACAUGCAAGUCUACUUGAUUUAUGGUUUCGGCCGUAAUGAUGGUGGCGGACGGGUGAGUAACGCGUAAAGAAUCUGCCCUUUAGACUAGGAUGACAGUUGGAAACGACUGCUAAUACCGGAUAUUAUGGAACCAUCGCAUGAUGGAAUCAUGAAAGCUAUAUGCGCUAGAGGAGGACUUUGCGUCCCAUUACCUAGUUGGUGAGGUAACGGCUCACCAAGGCGACGAUGGGUAGCCGGCCUGAGAGGGUGAUCGGCCACAAGGGAACUGAGACACGGUCCUUACUCCUACGGGAGGCAGCAGUGGGGAAUAUUGGACAAUGGGCCACAAGCCUGAUCCAGCAAUUCUGUGUGCACGAUGAAGGUCUUCGGAUUGUAAAGUGCUUUCAGUAGGGAAGAAUAAAUGACGGUACCUACAGAAGAAGCGACGGCUAAAUAUGUGCCAGCAGCCGCAGUAAAAC